rnacentral:rRNA from 1 species
ACGGGAGGCAGCAGUGGGGAAUAUUGCACAAUGGGGGAAACCCUGGUGCAGCGACGCCGCGUGAGCGAAGAAGUAUUUCGGUAUGUAAAGCUCUAUCAGCAGGGAAGAAAAUGACGGUACCUGACUAAGAAGCCCCGGCUAACUACGUGCCAGCAGCCGCGGUAAUACGUAUGGUGCAAGCGUUAUCCGGAUUUACUGGGUGUAAAGGGAGCGCAGGCGGUACGGCAAGUCUGAUGUGAAAGCCCGGGGCUCAACCCCGGUACUGCAUUGGAAACUGUCGAACUAGAGUGUCGGAGGGGUAAGUGGAAUUCCUAGUGUAGCGGUGAAAUGCGUAGAUAUUAGGAGGAACACCAGUGGCGAAGGCGACUUACUGGACGAUAACUGACGCUGAGGCUCGAAAGCGUGGGGAGCAAACAGGAUUAGAUACCCUGGUA